AAAGGGAGCGUAGGCGGCUGAUUAAGUCAGCGGUGAAAGGUAGCAGCUUAACUGUUUUACAUGCCGUUGAUACUGGUUAGCUUGAGUUGACAGAAGGCAGAUAGAAUUCCUGGUGUAGCGGUGAAAUGCUUAGAUACCAGGAGGAAUACCGAUUGCGAAGGCAGUCUGCUGCAGUCACACUGACGCUGAGGCUCGAAGGUGCGGGGAUCAAACAGGAUUAGAUACCCUGU
rnacentral:rRNA from 1 species